CAGCAGCCGCGGGAAUACGUAGGGGGCGAGCGUUGUCCGAAGUUACUGGGCGUAAAACACACGUAGGCGGCUUUUUAAGUCAGAGGUGAAAGCCCGGAGCUCAACUCCGGAACUGCCUUUGAGACUGGAAGGCUUGAACGUCGGAGAGGUGAGUGGAAUUCCGAGUGUAGAGGUGAAAUUCGUAGAUAUUGGGAAGAACACCGGUGGCGAAGGCGGCGACCUGGUCCUUUACUGACGCUGAGGCGCGAAAGCGUGAGGAGCAAACAGGAUUAGAUACCCGUGUAGUCCCUGUCUCUUAUAC
rnacentral:rRNA from 1 species